GUUGUUCACAGUGCACACCACUGAACAGCUCCAGCUUUAGAACAAUGAACCAUUUGUUUGGAUGGACGUUAAUGCUGCUGUAUUUCGACACUGAUGUACUCUGUGUUUCCCAACCAACAGUCCAGUCUGAGACUCAGCGGGUGAAUGGCAUCGUGGGACAGUCGUUCUCUUUUCCAGAGAGGGUGAUCAAGUCUGCCAAUUUACUUUACGGAGAACUUGGCAGUAUUGCAAAUGUGUACCCUGGUAAAGAAGGCAAAAUCACCCUCGGGAAGAGAUUUGAAAAUCGUAUCAACUUGAACAGUGAUACAAGAUACUUCACUCUGUCAGACCUUAAGAUAGACGAUGCUGGGGUUUAUACUGUGGAGAAUACAGAUGAAGGGGAAAAAAACAAAUUUGAGCUCACUGUAUACAAUUUUGUUUCCAAACCUCAGGUGACAGAGUGUGACAGCAGCUCCUGUAGUGUGGUGUGUUGUGUGCACAACGAAAAAGAGGUGACCUUGACCUUGUACAGGGGAGAGGAAUUACUAAACCAGACCAGCAGUCCUGAUCUCACCAAAGAUCUAUCUCUCCGUUUGGAGGUAGAGGGAAAGGACUACAACUCCACUUACAGCUGUGUGGCUUUUAACCCUAUCAGUAAUGAGACAGUUCCUAUCCCAAAAUGUUGCAGCAAAGAUGGUCAUCCUAAUGAUGCAGACAGUGAUGAGAGGGGUCGGGGUAUUCUUAUUAUUGCUGUAAUCUGCGUUUUGGUUGCCUUGGGGCUGGUUGGACUUGCAAUCUAUCUAAAGAAGAGUAGAAAUGGACAACCAAAAGAUUCAUCUCAAAAAGUCCAAGUUGACAUUGUGUAUGCAACGAUAACUCCUAAAAAACAAGCAGAUAAUCAGGAGGAGCGAACAGGUGUACCAGAACUGGAUUCACAUAGAGACAAACCAAAACUGACAUCAGUUUAUGAUACACUCCAAUCACAUCGUAUGGCUGCCAGCGGGGAUGUUGACACAGCAUGA
rnacentral:lncRNA from 8 species